GACACUAGUGUCCGUGUAAGGUAUUAGGUAUGCAUCCUGGAUCCAGCAAGAAGAAGCACGCGGCCAAAACCAAAAUCAAAGAGUAUUAUUGGACGCAAAACCUAAAUCAAAAUCGCUUCAGUUCAUACAGCAGAUCGGAUAAAGUGAUAAACAAUAAACUCAUCAAGUUUGAUAUGCAGCUGAAUCAUGACGCAUGGGUUAACCUAUCAACACGUACUACUUGUAAAUGAGUGCAAAGUAAAUGUUGCU